rnacentral:rRNA from 1 species
CACGGGAGACACACGGCGGGUGCUAACGUCCGUCGUGAAGAGGGAAACAACCCAGACCGCCAGCUAAGGUCCCAAAGUCAUGGUUAAGUGGGAAACGAUGUGGGAAGGCCCAGACAGCCAGGAUGUUGGCUUAGAAGCAGCCAUCAUUUAAAGAAAGCGUAAUAGCUCACUGGUCGAGUCGGCCUGCGCGGAAGAUGUAACGGGGCUAAACCAUGCACCGAAGCUGCGGCAGCGAACGUAUCACCCAAGACAACUUUACGGAGUUGACGAUUGACGGAGCGAAGCGACGUCAAAGCGUUCAUUAAAGUCGAGUUGGCUUAGGGAUACGUUCGUUGGGUAGGGGAGCGUUCUGUAAGCCUGUGAAGGUGUGUCGUGAGGCAUGCUGGAGGUAUCAGAAGUGCGAAUGCUGACAUAAGUAACGAUAAAGCGGGUGAAAAGCCCGCUCGCCGGAAGACCAAGGGUUCCUGUCCAACGUUAAUCGGGGCAGGGUGAGUCGACCCCUAAGGCGAGGCCGAAAGGCGUAGUCGAUGGGAAACGGGUUAAUAUUCCCGUACUUGGUGUUACUGCGAAGGGGGGACGGAGAAGGCUAUGUUGGCCGGGCGACGGUUGUCCCGGUUUAAGCGUGUAGGUGUGUGUUCCAGGUAAAUCCGGUUCACUUUAACACUGAGGCGUGACGACGAGGCACUACGGUGCUGAAGCAACAAAUGCCCUGCUUCCAGGAAAAGCCUCUAAGCAUCAGGUAACAUCAAAUCGUACCCCAAACCGACACAGGUGGUCAGGUAGAGAAUACCAAGGCGCUUGAGAGAACUCGGGUGAAGGAACUAGGCAAAAUGGUGCCGUAACUUCGGGAGAAGGCACGCUGACACGUAGGUGAAGUGAUUUACUCAUGGAGCUGAAGUCAGUCGAAGAUACCAGCUGGCUGCAACUGUUUAUUAAAAACACAGCACUGUGCAAACACGAAAGUGGACGUAUACGGUGUGACGCCUGCCCGGUGCCGGAAGGUUAAUUGAUGGGGUCAGCGCAAGCGAAGCUCCUGAUCGAAGCCCCGGUAAACGGCGGCCGUAACUAUAACGGUCCUAAGGUAGCGAAAUUCCUUGUCGGGUAAGUUCCGACCUGCACGAAUGGCGUAAUGAUGGCCAGGCUGUCUCCACCCGAGACUCAGUGAAAUUGAACUCGCUGUGAAGAUGCAGUGUACCCGCGGCAAGACGGAAAGACCCCGUGAACCUUUACUAUAGCUUGACACUGAACAUUGAGCCUUGAUGUGUAGGAUAGGUGGGAGGCUUUGAAGUGUGGACGCCAGUCUGCAUGGAGCCGACCUUGAAAUACCACCCUUUAAUGUUUGAUGUUCUAACGUGGACCCGUAA